GAUGAACGCUGGCGGCGUGCCUAAUACAUGCAAGUCGAGCGAACGGACGAGAAGCUUGCUUCUCUGAUGUUAGCGGCGGACGGGUGAGUAACACGUGGAUAACCUACCUAUAAGACUGGGAUAACUUCGGGAAACCGUAGCUAAUACCGGAUAAUAUUUUGAACCGCAUGGUUCAAAAGUGAAAGACGGUCUUGCUGUCACUUAUAGAUGGAUCCGCGCUGCAUUAGCUAGUUGGUAAGGUAACGGCUUACCAAGGCAACGAUGCAUAGCCGACCUGAGAGGGUGAUCGGCCACACUGGAACUGAGACGCGGUCCAGACUCCUACGGGAGGCAGCAGUAGGGAAUCUUCCGCAAUGGGCGAAAGCCUGACGGAGCAACGCCGAGUGAGUGAUGAAGGUCUUCGGAUCGUAAAACUCUGUUAUUAGGGAAGAACAGAUGUGUAAGUAACUGUGCACAUCUUGACGGUACCUAAUCAGAAAGCCACGGCUAACUACGUG
rnacentral:rRNA from 1 species